CGAGCCGUUUGUUUGCCUAUAAUUGCCCCGUUAUUUUUAAUGUUUUUUUUUAUAAUCUCGUUCCGAUUAUAAAACACUAUUUUAUUGAGACGGAAUUUUUUUUUUUUAGAAUAUAUAAACUUUUUUCGUUUUUAUACGAAUAUUAUUCUAUAGCUGUCUCUCGAGGACUCGUCGGCUGCUGUUGCUGCAGCUUUUAGCGUAUUAAUCUUUCCGCGCGAACGACUCGACUGACACGACUGACGGGCCAAAGACAAUAUAAUCCGAGAAAACACC